CCUACGGGUGGCAGCAGUCGAGAAUCAUUCACAAUGGGGGAAACCCUGAUGGUGCGACGCCGCGUGGGGGAAUGAAGGUCUUCGGAUUGUAAACCCUUGUCAUGUGGGAGCAAAUUAAAAAGAUAGUACCACAAGAGGAAGAGACGGCUAACGCGGUGGCAGCAGCCGCGGUAAUACAGAGGUCUCAAGCGUUGUUCGGAAUCACUGGGCGUAGAGGUGGCGUAGGCUGUUCCGCAAGUCGGUCGUGAAAGGCGCGGGCUCAACCCGCGAACGGCUCAUGAUACUGCGCGACUAGAGUAAUGGAGGGGGAACCGGAAUUCUCGGUGUAGCAGUGAAAUGCGUAGAUAUAGAGAGGAACACUAGUGGCGAAGGCGGGUUGCUGGACAUUAACUGACGCUGAGGCACGAAGGCCAGGGGAGCGAAAGGGAUUAGAUACCCUUGUAGUC
rnacentral:rRNA from 1 species